GCCCAGCCGUAAACUUUAACUUACAUUCAAAUCGCCAGGGAACUACGAGCUAAGCUUAAAACCCAAAGGACUUGACGGUACCCCAUAUCCCCCUAGAGGAGCCUGUUCUAUAAUCGAUAAUCCACGUUUAACCUCACCAUUUUUAGUUAAUCAGCCUGUAUACCUCCGUCGUCAGCUUACCACGUGAGCGCCAAUUAGUGAGCUUAAUGUCUUUCACCAACACGUCAGGUCAAGGUGCAGCAAAUGAAAUGGGAAGAGAUGGGCUACACUUUCUAUAUUAGAAAAAACGAAAAACUACUUAUGAAAACUAGUUGGAAGGCGGAUUUAGCAGUAAAAAGGAAUCAGAAUGUCCAUUUUAACCCGGCACUGGGGUGUGUACACACCGCCCGUCACCCUCUUCAAAGCUUAUUAACCUAGUUCUUAACAAACUAAAGCAUAACAGAAUAGGCAAGUCGUAACAUGGUAAGUAUACCGGAAGGUGUGCUUGGAAA
rnacentral:rRNA from 1 species